rnacentral:rRNA from 1 species
AGAGUUUGAUCCUGGCUCAGAACGAACGUUGGCGGCGUGGAUUAGGCAUGCAAGUCGAACGAAUCCCCAGGGGCUUGCUCUUGGGGGGAAGUGGCGAAAGGGGCAGUAAUGCGUGGGUAACCUACCCCGGGGACCGGGAUAGCCUUUCUAACGAAAGGGUAAUACCGGGCGAUGUGGCGGAGGGGCAUCUCUUUGCCAUGAGAUGAAUUUCGCCUCGGGAGGGGCUCACGUGCUAUUAGCUAGUUGGCGGGGUAACGGCCCACCAAGGCUAAGAUGGCUAGCGGGUGUGAGAGCACGACCCGCGCCACUGGCACUGAGACACUGGCCAGACUCCUACGGGAGGCUGCAGUCGAGGAUCUUCGGCAAUGGGCGCAAGCCUGACCGAGCGACGCCGCGUGAGCGACGAAGGCCUUCGGGUUGUAAAGCUCGAAAGUAUCAAGGAAAGCCGAAAGGUUUGACCGCGAUACAGUAAACACGGGCUAAGUUCGUGCCAGCAGCCGCGGUAAGACGAACCGUGCGAACGUUGUUCGGAAUCACUGGGCUUAAAGGGCGCGUAGGCGGGCCGCAAAGUCAGGGGUGAAAUACUCCAGCUCAACUGGAGAACAGCCUUUGAUACUGGCGGCCUCGAGUAAGGUAGGGGCAUGCGGAACAUUGGGUGGAGCGGUGAAAUGCGUUGAUAUCCAAUGGAACUCCGGUGGCGAAAGCGGCGUGCUGGACCUUAACUGACGCUGAUGCGCGAAAGCCAGGGGAGCAAACGGGAUUAGAUACCCCAGUAGUCC